rnacentral:lncRNA from 1 species
ACAAAGAUUAUCAACAAUAGAACAAGGAGUAUCUAAUCCACAAACUCAACAAAACGUAAGUAUCACAACUAUAACAUCUGUCCAGAAAGUAAAUAUACAUCACGGGGUGUACAAAAAGAAUAGAUACAAUGGUGGUCUCUCUAUACAUAGGGACAUCACCCUCGGCCGUAGCCCGAGUAGUAAGGUGAUCGACUAGCAUGCUCCUAGCAAUGUCUAGCUAGACGCGACUCCCUUGCCACGAUCCCUAGCCUCUCCUGUAGAUGGCUCUGUAAAAACAACCACNGAGAUGUGCUGAACCAUAGACUUUGUUUGCUUGCCAUUGUGCUCAUUCGCACACGCUUGUGAGGGUAGCUCCCUACAAGCCGGCACUUCGGAGUUGGCCUACACGACACUUGCUCGCCCGUGCGGGAUUGGGUGCCGAAGUGGAUUGCCGUGGGGAGUGUAUACUACCACGGGGCCAUUAGACGCGGCGCAAGCUGGACUACCUGGGGUAGGUCCUAAUAAAUGAAAAGGAAAACUAUAAAUGAGAUUAAGUACUAAAUGAUAUUUGAUAGUAUUUGAUAGUAACGAAUGCUUACCUGUUACAGUAGGUAUCUACAUAUUCGUGCUUAUGUUCAUGUUGAUUUCAUGCUCAUCACCUGUUAGCAUUGCAUAUAUAUAUAUAUAUAUAUAUAUAUAUAUAUGCAAUGCUAACAGGUGAUGAGCAUGAAAUCAACAUGAACAUAAGCACGAAUAUGUAGAUACCUACUGUAACAGGUAAGCAUUCGUUACUAUCAAAUACUAUCAAAUAUCAUUUAGUACUUAAUCUCAUUUAUAGUUUUCCUUUUCAUUUAUUAGGACCUACCCCAGGUAGUCCAGCUUGCGCCGCGUCUAAUGGCCCCGUGGUAGUAUACACUCCCCACGGCAAUCCACUUCGGCACCCAAUCCCGCACGGGCGAGCAAGUGUCGUGUAGGCCAACUCCGAAGUGCCGGCUUGUAGGGAGCUACCCUCACAAGCGUGUGCGAAUGAGCACAAUGGCAAGCAAACAAAGUCUAUGGUUCAGCACAUCUCUAACAUCUUGGCAUAGUACAUCAUGUUGUCACUCUCGAUUUAUUGAUCAGAAUUCUCAAUAUAAAGAAUAUUGACAAUAACUAGUAACCACUAGAUUAGUAAGCAUGUGAGAGUAAUGCGAAUUCACAUAUGGCAUUAGAAACUAUCCACUACCAUGGCACUAUCAUUAUAGUCACCAAUCAUGUCCUUGUUCUAUACUCUAUAAUCAAUAAAGUCAUAAGAAUGUUAUUGUUCUCUAAUUUCUAGGAACAUGAUAACUUGUCCAUUAAUCAUUCAACCGAGUUAAACAUGAACAUAAAGACUUGUAUGCAUAAAUGUUCUCUAUUUCAUAGAGUUCUCAAUUUAAUUAUGCAUUAUGCAUCGACACUAGAGUUUAAUGACUAGUCUCAAGUCCUAUAUCCACCACCAAAAACAUACAAUUAUGCCAAUUCUAUAAUGACAUAUAGAACAUAGGGGAGCUUCACUUGCUCUGGUUAGGUCAAACCCACCUAUCACAAGGCUCAAAUCAGUCCAAAAGAGUCCCAAGAUGUAGCUCAACUAGUCCCCGACCCUGCUGAAAAUGAAACGUAAGAAUCGCGUCAUAACGGGUACUACAAAUCCAAUUUCGGCGAAAUUCUCAAUUGCAACUAUAUUGGGACUUAAUUCCCUAUUUUGGUUCAGGGGAAUACCUCAAAUUAAGCCUCCACAAGCUCUCACCAACUAGAUGAAAACGAUACAAGGGUCAAUUAUAAUCCUGCUGCGGACAAACACGAAAUGGCGUCAAAAAGCUCAUAUACAAAAUCAAAUGGCCGAAACUUUGCGAAUUCAGUUUUCUAACUGAAAUUCUUGCUUACCCCUGGCUGGAACACCCUGUAGACAAGUUCUCGAGGUCAUAAAUAUAGUUUAAUGGAGUUCAAUAACCUGCUGCGAAGACAUAAAAUCCAAACUGCAUCAAUUACACGGUUAACUUCGUUUAGUUCCGAACUAGCUUCGUAAAUAAGUAAUUCUCUUACCUCGGCUUUACAGCAACUCUUUUACUGAGCUAAAGUAGUUCCUUCACAGUCAAAAGAAUCCCUCGUUACUACUGAAAACCUCCUCGAAUUCAGUUAGAAGCAGUGAAACCAAAAUGCAUCAAAUUUCAAUGCUAUAUCGCAAAUUAGCGAGAAAUUGAGCUAAUUCCUUAUCUAAAGCUGAGAUAUAGCUUCUUAGGUACUAACCUCAUAGAAAACUCAGAGAAAAACUUCCUCCCCAUGUGCUAGAAGCAUCCCGAGAGUCGCCAAGGCAGCGAGCAACGAGCACGGCACGAAAUCAACUCGAAUCGGCGACUUUUCCGUAGAGAGAGAAAAACCCUAGAGAGAGAGAGAGAAAGAAAAGGUAGAGGAUCAAAUCCUGAGCUCCAGAACCCUCUACUGAGUAUCCCUGGUCGAGCUGGGCAAAAGGGAUAAGAACAGGAGGCAAAAAGACCAAAAUAACCUGUUGCCACGCACCUGCUGCAGCUGCUGCUUGCUGUACCGGUACAGGGUGAUGGCUGUACCGGUACACAGUGCAGAAAAUGCUGAAUUUCGCCAGUUCAAUGCACUUUCUUGCUUCUAACUUUCCAAUUAUCCUCUAACUUGUUCAAAAACUUGUCUAAACCUUUUAGGACAUGUAGAAUAGUUCCACAUUCCAUUCCACACACUCGAACUCCGCAAUUUGCAGAAGUUCAGUGUAUUACAUUAUGCCUUUCAAGUUUAGAAUAAGAGCCAGUCGAGUAACAAUCAAGUGUUGGUUCAAAAGUGUUUCAAGUAAAUUUGCAUUCCCAAAAAUUGUAGAAUCUUUCAGGUAAAUUUGCAUUCUUUUGUGCUUAUCAAGAUUUCGACCAUUGCGAGUUUGUUUGUGUAAUACAAUAUUACUGGAAGAAAUAUUAGAUGCUUUAUUAAUUCUCACUUGGCAACGAUGUCUUAAUAAACUUAUUUAUUGCUUAGAUAACCUUACUACAAAAUAAUCAUUUACUAAUUAGUGCCUUUAUUGCUGGCAGGUGUUGUGACCAUAGUUAGUUAAUUCGGAUUCGGCAAAAAUUUGGUACGGAUAUAAUUCGGAUAAAAUUCGUCUUCUAAUUUUUAAAUUCGUUAAAAAAUACGGCUAAAAAACGGAUUCGUCAAUUAUUUGGAUACGUGAUUUAUACGGAUAUUAUACGUUCAUCAAUUAAAAAUUCGGGAACAAAAAUUCAGCUAUUAAAUUAAGUUUUUUUUCUCUCAAGAUUUAUGUUAUUAGUAUAAAUACUCAUAUUUCUUAUGAAUAUAAGAAUAAAAAGAUACAAAAUUAAGUUAAUUUAGUAAAAAAUUUGAAAAAAGUUUUUUUUCUGUAAUUAAAUUAAGAGUUUUUUUUUUCUGUAACUUAAUUAAAUUAAGUUAAUUAAUAAGUACGGGCGCUCCGCUCGAGGCUGUCACGCCCGGGUACCAGCGGAAGCAUAUCCGGUACGUGCACAGACCCGCCAUACACCUGCAGUAUAUAAGGCGUCUACAAGAAACAAGUCGAGAGUAAAAACAUAACAUAAUCCUAUCCUGAUAUCAGAACGCAGUAAAAGUCACAAAGACUAUCAACAAAAGAACGAGAGUAUCCAACUCCAAAUAUAAGUACAAAAGAAAGUACUAAAACUGCCACAUCUGGAUCCAAAACUCAUUUACAACACAGGGUACACAAAAUAUCUGUACAAUGGUAGUCUCUCUAUAAACUGGACAUCACCCUCGGCCGUAGCCCGAGUAGCAAGGUGAUCGACUAGAAUGCUCC